CAAUGCUAGUACCGUUGCUAAUGCUGGUGCUGGGACUCCUACUCAUGCUGGAGCUCAAUCUGGCUCUGCGGCUCCAAAAUCUGUUUAUGAUGCACCCAGAGCCCCUGGUUAUGAGGGAUCAAAAGGACCAGGCUAUGACACAUCCAGAGGACCUGGAUAUGAUGUACCAAGAGGAGCUGGAUAUGAUGUACAGAGGGGAUACAAUUAUGAACCUAGAGGAUCCGGAUAUGAUAUACAAAGAGGACCUACCUAUGAUGCACAGAGAUUACCUGGUUAUGAUGCACAGAGAAUAACUGGCUUUGACGUCCAGAGAGGACCGGCAUAUGGUGUGCAACGAGGACCUCAUUAUGAUGCAUCCAGGGGUGCUGGAUAUGAUGCUGCUUCAAGAGUACUAGCUGGACCACAUGGGCAAAUGGCACCUGCAAGCAAUGCGCCUUACGGGUCUGGAACGCCACCAGAUCAUGCUGGAAGUGGGUAUGAGGCACCAGCUCAAGGCGGAAAUUACCCUGUUCGAAGAUAAGCACUUAGCUAAUGCGGUUGAAAUGAAAUCCAAGGCAUAUCCCUAUUGGGCAUCUUUUUUAUUUUUAUAAUCAAGUUGACCUCUUGCGGCUGCACACUUUUGGUAGCAUUGUUUUUGCUGCAUUCCUUCUUUGAGCGCCCAUUUUCCCCCAAAACACAAUCCCGUUGAUGUGGGUUCAUUAACUUGUCAGUUUUAUUCACAUCGCGUGUUUGUAACUUUCUUUGUUUGGAAGUAUAUCAUCACAUUCCUCCUGCAAUUUUGCUAUUCCAACUUCUUGCAUCUGUACAUGGUGGCUUGUGAGGUCAUUAAUGGAGUUGGAUAUUUCCUGUCAACAGAAAUUUCUAUUUCAGAUAAU
rnacentral:misc_RNA from 1 species